rnacentral:sRNA from 12 species
UGCACGCUAUGGCGUGGCCGGCGGAAACGCCCCAGCUCCUCACUACAAGGGGUAGGACACCUAUAGGCGUGCUUU